UCGCCUGUUUAUCAAAAACAUGUCUUUAUGAUAAUAAUUUAAAGUCUGACCUGCCCACUGAAUUGGAUUUAAAGGGCCGCGGUAUUUUGACCGUGCAAAGGUAGCAUAAUCAUUAGUCUUUUAAUUGGAGGCUGGAAUGAAUGGUUGGACGAGGCAUUGACUGUCUCAAUAUGAAUGUUAUUAGAAUUUAACUUUUAAGUUAAAAGGCUUAAAUUUAUUUAAAGGACGAGAAGACCCUAUAGAGCUUUAUAAUUAAAAAUUAUAUUUUAUUUGGGAGAAUUUAUAUUAUAAUUUGUCAAUUAUUUUGUUGGGGUGACAGGAAGAUAGAUAAAACUCUUUUUAAAUUUUUGACCAUUGAUUUAUGAAUUGUUGAUCCAUUAUUAGUGAUUAUAAGACUAAGUUACCUUAGGGAUAACAGCGUAAUUUUUUUUGAGAGUUCUUAUCGACAAAAAAGGUUGCGACCUCGAUGUUGGAUUAAGGGUAAUUUUGGGUGUAGAUGUUCAAAGUUUAGGUCUGUUCGACCUUUAGAUCCUUACAUGAUCUGAGUUCAAACCGGAGA
rnacentral:rRNA from 1 species